AGGUGAAAUAGAGCUUUCCAUCAUUCUCAAUUGUAUCUUUUCUUCACAACUACAAUUAGUGGCAGAAACUAAGUCAAGAUUCCAUAGCUUUCAGUUUUUUCCCAGUGCACACGGCACGUCUUAUGUAACUACAAAGCUCCUUCUCCCAAGUUUCUCUUAAAUUAAAGACUUUAAACUCUAUAUAUAAUCCUUAUUUAAUUAAAUAAUGCCUCUAAUCAUACCAUUUAGAUAGAAGCUUAUAUAUAUAUAUAUAUAUAUGUUGUGUAUGAGAGGGAGAGAAAGAGAUGUCAGAUACUUUGGGAGGAUACCAUCAUUCCAUCAAGAGCCAAUUAAUCUACAGAGUGGGCACUAGUGAUGGGAACCACCACUACUACAAGAGCAGCAACUUUAAUUUACAAAGAUAUUUGAAUCUCAUCUUCAAGAAACAGUACUAGUACAUCAUCUGUUAAUUAAUGGUGUUGAAGUGGAUGAUGAGACAUGGUUUGCAUGCAGGUAUGGAUACUGUGUUUGUGCAAUAUUGGUCUGAUGGUGAUCGAUGGAGAAGAGAAGAUUGAAUGUAGUGUAUGUUUUAGUGAAGAAUUGAAGGAUGGGGAGAAGGGAAUGGUACUUGCAGUUUGUGCUCAUAAAUUCCAUGCAGCAUGUGCACGUGAAUGGUUUCGUAAUUCUCAUGCAACGUGCCCUCUCUGUCGUGCCGUUGUCCGAGCAGAUGAUCGUUGCUGAUACAGAGAUUGAUUUCUUGGAAUUGUUUUCAUUAACAAACUUAUAUAAUGUGCAUAAUUUGUAAUUAUAUAUAUUUGUUUUAUGAGAAAAAAAUUAAUAAUGUUUUAUUCA